UGACACCAGGCUUUUAAGAAGGGAUAAAGCAGAUUACCAGAAAACACAGAGAGAUAAAACUAAUUAAAAAAAAAAGUGAUAAAAGUGUGAGAGUAUGUUUUUCUGCCGUUGGAUGUCAUUGCUAAUAUAAAUUCAUCGCGUUAGCGACUUUGAUGCAAGCGAAAGAGAAUUCGUUAAUUACGUUUGGUGCCAUUGUUGGAUGUUCUGUCAGUGUUCCGGUGAUGGAAAGGUUUGGUCGGAAGUUUGUCACCUACUCUGAAUUUCAGCCGUCUCUUUGACUCCAUGUUGUGCGCAAUACCAUUCGUUCUGAGAUGGCUUCUCAUUAGCUACGCUAAGGAUGUUGAAAUGCUUUACGCUGGACGGAUCCUAAAAGGCUUAGGAUGUGGAGUACUGCAAUAGUCCAUGUCCACCAUUUGCCCAAGGGUGUAAGCUGCUCUGCUGAGGACCAGCACUAACAUUGAGCCCUUUAUUAGCCUUCACAAUGAGUCACUUGUGUCGCUGGAAAUGGCUCAGGCUUUUAUAGCUGAAGUUACCCCGGCACUGCUCCUUAUUUUGAUGAUCGCCUUACCAGAUUCCAACCGCUGGCUGCGAGGGAAGAAUUUCGACAAUGAGACUAUAUGGAUGCUGAUGUUCGAGGAGAGUGCACUAUCGUUAAGGCUAAUCUAGGUGAGGCCAAUGAUGCGUCAGUCACUAAUUUUUAAAUCAAUCCUUCAGGCGGCUAGUGUGUCAGCUAAUAAUGUCUGCAGCGAAGACAAUUUUUAUCAGGCCUUAUUUUCGCCACCGCUCAUGUAGUGCUCAUCACUGCGAAUAUCGCUCUCGUAUUCAUUUUUUUUGUAUGAUUUUCAUAGCGGAGCUCUCAGCGUACGAAGCGCGCUGCGUUGCCUUUUACUUCUACAAAAUAGUAAUAAAUAAGAAGAUAGAUAGUGAAAGACUGCAUGCGGCUACUGGUAUAGCACAACUUUUGUAGCAUUGAAAAGAACUUCAAGUAGUAUAAUGAGGUAGUGUUGCAGAAUAUUUUCACACAUGCAAGACAGAAAACCUGCAGCAUUCCACGUAUUUAUACUGAAGUAACCUGUUCCUCAGGAAAAGAUGGUUUAAGAACACAUCGUCUAAUUUUCAUUCAACCAAUAAUGAAAAUGUUAAUAUGGAUUACAAUUAUAGUAACAUAAUGAUAAUUCAAAGGGAAUAACUCGAAAGUCUCGUGGUUCCCCCAUUCCCUCGGCUCUAACAAUGAUUACUUACGCCUCUUUUAUAUUUUCUCGCUAAUUGGAAAUACUUUUUCUCAUUUUAUUGCAAAUCCAGUUUUUGAGACUUUUGUAAUAGGAUAUUCCGUCAUUCUGCGUCUUUAGAUAUCAUUUAGAUAUUAGUUAUCAGAGGAGGUUGACACGUUACAGAAAAAUCGGUGAAGCAAGCAGUCAUACCUAGUGACAUCAAGAGAAGAUAUAAGAGAAGCCCAUACGAUUCUGGCAUGCAGCGGUAAGCGAACAUCAAGGCGAAAUUGGAUUGAAAAGAAAAUGGCGACCUGAUAAAUAGUACCAUUACACGGGGAUAUAUGAAAGAGACGGCGAAGUAAUUGAACUUUAAUCAAGUUCUAUAGUGUCUCGUAAACUGAAAGCAGUAAAUUAAGAGGAAUAAAGGCUGAUAUUUUCUAAAGAAACUGUUUGGGGCUGCGUC